rnacentral:rRNA from 1 species
UUCGGGGUACACGAGCGGCGAACGGGUGAGUAACACGUGAGCAACCUGCCCCUGACUCUGGGAUAAGCGGUGGAAACGCCGUCUAAUACCGGAUACGACCCGCCCCUGCCUGGGGUGCGGGUGGAAAGUUUUUUCGGUUGGGGAUGGGCUCGCGGCCUAUCAGCUUGUUGGUGGGGUAACGGCCUACCAAGGCGAUUACGGGUAGCCGGCCUGAGAGGGCGACCGGCCACACUGGGACUGAGACACGGCCCAGACUCCUGCGGGAGGCAGCAGUGGGGAAUCUUGCGCAAUGGGCGAAAGCCUGACGCAGCGACGCCGCGUGGGGGAUGACGGCCUUCGGGUUGUAAACCUCUUUUACCACUCACGCAGGCCCCGGGUUUUCUCGGGGUUGACGGUAGGUGGGGAAUAAGGACCGGCUAACUACGUGCCAGCAGCCGCGGUAAUACGUAGGGUCCGAGCGUUGUCCGGAAUUAUUGGGCGUAAAGAGCUCGUAGGCGGUGUGUCGCGUCUGCUGUGAAAGACCGGGGCUUAACUCCGGUUUUGCAGUGGAUACGGGCAUGCUAGAGGUAGGUAGGGGAGACUGGAAUUCCUGGUGUAGCGGUGAAAUGCGCAGAUAUCAGGAGGAACACCGGUGGCGAAGGCGGGUCUCUGGGCCUUACCUGACGCUGAGGAGCGAAAGCGUGGGGAGCGAACAGGAUUAGAUACCCUGGUAGUCCACGCCGUAAACGUUGGGCGCUAGGUGUGGGGGCUUUCCACGGUUCCCGUGCCGCAGCUAACGC